rnacentral:rRNA from 1 species
GAUGAACGCUGGCGGCGUGCCUAAUACAUGCAAGUCGAGCGAACGGACGAGAAGCUUGCUUCUCUGAUGUUAGCGGCGGACGGGUGAGUAACACGUGGAUAACCUACCUAUAAGACUGGGAUAACUUCGGGAAACCGGAGCUAAUACCGGAUAAUAUUUUGAACCGCAUGGUUCAAAAGUGAAAGACGGUCUUGCUGUCACUUAUAGAUGGAUCCGCGCUGCAUUAGCUAGUUGGUAAGGUAACGGCUUACCAAGGCAACGAUGCAUAGCCGACCUGAGAGGGUGAUCGGCCACACUGGAACUGAGACACGGUCCAGACUCCUACGGGAGGCAGCAGUAGGGAAUCUUCCGCAAUGGGCGAAAGCCUGACGGAGCAACGCCGCGUGAGUGAUGAAGGUCUUCGGAUCGUAAAACUCUGUUAUUAGGGAAGAACAUAUGUGUAAGUAACUGUGCACAUCUUGACGGUACCUAAUCAGAAAGCCACGGCUAACUACGUGCCAGCAGCCGCGGUAAUACGUAGGUGGCAAGCGUUAUCCGGAAUUAUUGGGCGUAAAGCGCGCGUAGGCGGUUUUUUAAGUCUGAUGUGAAAGCCCACGGCUCAACCGUGGAAGGUCAUUGGAAACUGGAAAACUUGAGUGCAGAAGAGGAAAGUGGAAUUCCAUGUGUAGCGGUGAAAUGCGCAGAGAUAUGGAGGAACACCAGUGGCGAAGGCGACUUUCUGGUCUGUAACUGACGCUGAUGUGCGAAAGCGUGGGGAUCAAACAGGAUUAGAUACCCUGGUAGUCCACGCCGUAAACGAUGAGUGCUAAGUGUUAGGGGGUUUCCGCCCCUUAGUGCUGCAGCUAACGCAUUAAGCACUCCGCCUGGGGAGUACGACCGCAAGGUUGAAACUCAAAGGAAUUGACGGGGACCCGCACAAGCGGUGGAGCAUGUGGUUUAAUUCGAAGCAACGCGAAGAACCUUACCAAAUCUUGACAUCCUUUGACAACUCUAGAGAUAGAGCCUUCCCCUUCGGGGGACAAAGUGACAGGUGGUGCAUGGUUGUCGUCAGCUCGUGUCGUGAGAUGUUGGGUUAAGUCCCGCAACGAGCGCAACCCUUAAGCUUAGUUGCCAUCAUUAAGUUGGGCACUCUAAGUUGACUGCCGGUGACAAACCGGAGGAAGGUGGGGAUGACGUCAAAUCAUCAUGCCCCUUAUGAUUUGGGCUACACACGUGCUACAAUGGACAAUACAAAGGGCAGCGAAACCGCGAGGUCAAGCAAAUCCCAUAAAGUUGUUCUCAGUUCGGAUUGUAGUCUGCAACUCGACUACAUGAAGCUGGAAUCGCUAGUAAUCGUAGAUCAGCAUGCUACGGUGAAUACGUUCCCGGGUCU